GCAGGCCUAACACAUGCAAGUCGAGGGGUAACGAUGGCUUCGGCCAGGCGACGACCGGCGCACGGGUGAGUAUCGCGUUUGUAACCUACCUCUGACUGGAGGAUAGCCCGAAGAAAUUCGGAUUAAUACUCCAUAAUACUAUGGACAGGCAUCUGUUCAUGGUUAAAGCCCCGGCGGUCAGAGAUGGGCAUGCGUGACAUUAGCUUGUUGGUGAGGUAACAGCUCACCAAGGCUACGAUGUCUAGGGGGUCUGAGAGGAUGGUCCCCCACACUGGUACUGAGACACGGACCAGACUCCUACGGGAGGCAGCAGUGAGGAAUAUUGGUCAAUGGGCGAAAGCCUGAACCAGCCAUGCCGCGUGAAGGAUGACAGCCCUAUGGGUUGUAAACUUCUUUUGUACGGGAAGAAACGCUUCUACGUGUAGAGGUUUGACGGUACCGUACGAAUAAGCAUCGGCUAACUCCGUGCCAGCAGCCGCGGUAAUACGGAGGAUGCAAGCGUUAUCCGGAUUUAUUGGGUUUAAAGGGUACGUAGGCGGGAGCUUAAGUCAGUGGUGAAAUCCUGCAGCUUAACUGUAGAACUGUCAUUGAUACUGGGCUUCUUGAAUGUAGUUGAGGUAGGCGGAAUGUGUAAUGUAGCGGUGAAAUGCUUAGAUAUUACACAGAACACCGAUUGCGAAGGCAGCUUACUAAACUACGAUUGACGCUGAGGUACGAAAGCGUGGGGAGCGAACGGGAUUAGAUACCCUGGUAGUCCACGCUGUAAACGAUGAUCACUCGUUGUUGGCAAUACACCGUCAGCGACUGAGCGAAAGCAUUAAGUGAUCCACCUGGGGAGUACGACCGCA
rnacentral:rRNA from 1 species